rnacentral:rRNA from 1 species
UGGGGAAUAUUGCACAAUGGGCGCAAGCCUGAUGCAGCCAUGCCGCGUGUAUGAAGAAGGCCUUCGGGUUGUAAAGUACUUUCAGCGAGGAGGAAGGCGUUGUGGUUAAUAACCGCAACGAUUGACGUUACUCGCAGAAGAAGCACCGGCUAACUCCGUGCCAGCAGCCGCGGUAAUACGGAGGGGGCAAGCGUUAAGCGGAAUUACUGGGCGUAAAGCGCACGCAGGCGGUCUGUCAAGUCGGAUGUGAAAUCCCCGGGCUCAACCUGGGAACUGCAUCCGAAACUGGCAGGCUAGAGUCUUGUAGAGGGGGGUAGAAUUCCAGGUGUAGCGGUGAAAUGCGUAGAGAUCUGGAGGAAUACCGGUGGCGAAGGCGGCCCCCUGGACAAAGACUGACGCUCAGGUGCGAAAGCGUGGGGAGCAAACA